rnacentral:rRNA from 1 species
GACGAACGCUGGCGGCGUGCUUAACACAUGCAAGUCGAACGGAAAGGCCCUGCUUUUGUGGGGUGCUCGAGUGGCGAACGGGUGAGUAAAACGUGAGUAACCUGCCCUUGACUUUGGGAUAACUUCAGGAAACUGGGGCUAAUACCGGAUAGGAGCUCCUGCUGCAUGGUGGGGGUUGGAAAGUUUCGGCGGUUGGGGAUGGACUCGCGGCUUAUGAGCUUGUUGGUGGGGUAGUGGCUUACCAAGGCUUUGACGGGUAGCCGGCCUGAGAGGGUGACCGGCCACAUUGGGACUGCGAUACGGCCCAGUCGCCUACGGGAGGCAGCAGUGGGGAAUAUUGCACAAUGGGCGGAAGCCUGAUGCAGCAACGCCGCGUGCGGGAUGACGGCCUUCGGGUUGUAAACCGCUUUCUCCUGUGACGAAGCGUGAGUGACGGUAAUGGGUAAAGAAGCACCGGCUAACUACGUG